rnacentral:rRNA from 1 species
UACAGAGGUCCCAAGCGUUGUUCGGAUUCACUGGGCGUAAAGGGUGCGUAGGCGGUCGGGUAAGUCUGGCGUGAAAUCUCCAAGCCUAACUUGGAAACUGCGUUGGAUACUAUCCGGCUCGAGGAAUGGAGGGGAGACUGGAAUACUUGGUGUAGCAGUGAAAUGCGUAGAUAUCAAGUGGAACACCAGUGGCGAAGGCGGCUCACUGGUCCGGUACUGACGCUGAGGUGCGAAAGCGUGGGGAGCAAACAGG